AUGAGUUGGCAGGAAUCUCCGAGGGAAAAUGAACUUCUUCACUUAUGUGAUUUGUUGGGAAAAUCGUUCAGUACUGUUUUGUAUCAACUGGAGACACUGAACAAGAAAAUUGAUCAUCUUUUCAAGGGAAUUUCCCUGAUUGUGAAAAAUCCUUCUCCUAUAGACAUUAUAACAACUGUACCAACCAGUUCCACUAACAUUAAUGAGGAAUUAAGCGCUCUGGAAGGCCAUGGAAGAAUAAGGCUAGAGGAGCAGAAGGUAGUCAAUAGGGAAAACCAAGAAAGACGUGUCUGAAAACCAAGAAGGAAAGGAGUUUAAUUUUUGAAUCAUCUGCCAGAAGAAUUCCUAAACAGCCACAUGAACCAAAGGUAAAUUAUAAUUUGCCUGCAUUUGGUAUUCAAUAAGCUGGUUAAUAUUUCACUACUACAUAUAACAUUGGUAAUAUGUUAUAUAACAAUAGGCAAUAUGUUACUUACUGUAAGAAAGCUCUAAACAUUAUUUUAGGACAAAUUGGGAAAUCUAUAAUUGUCAAGAAAAUGUAGCAAGAUUUGAUUACUUUAUACCAUUCCUUGGCUUCCUAAAUCUUUACACAUAGUAAAAGUGAAAAUCUGUAUGUGUGCAUGUGGCAGAGGUGUCCAUUUACACAGAAAGCCUCCUGCCUCUACAAACAGCUUUAGCCCACAGUACUGAGGAGCCACCAAAGGACAUUGCAUUUUACGGCGAGCCACAUCCUAGGGUUCCUUUCUCUUUCCAUUGGUGUGGAAUUUCCAUGACCCUGCCCACUACCUCUCCCUUAACCCUUUCCUAUUCUUUUCCAUGGCACACAGCAACUGAACAUACUAAAGAGAGAAGUUUGGGGAGAAUUCACCAUUAUUUAGAGGAAGGGACUGGGAUGUAUAGUUCAUCUGCAAUCUGAGAGCACUCUGAACCCCACCAAUGAUGGACUUAGAACUAAUUUGCCACACACACCAAACAUGGCCAACUUUUCUUACUGGCGGGGUUUGGGGGUGAUUGACCUUGACAUCCAAGAGUUGUAGUUCUCCCAUAUUCAACAAACACCAAACCCUUCUGAUGACAGAUAGGGACCAAACUUGGCAUACAAAUUCAACAUGGCCAAUUGGGAAUACUGGUGGACUUUGAGGGUGAUUGACCUUUAACUCUGGGAGUUAUAGUUCACGUGUAUUCUGUGAGCCCUCCAAACCCCACCAAUGACGGAUCUGGACCAAAUGUGGCACACAGACCCAACAUGACCAACUGGGAAUAUUGGCAGGCUUUGCGAGUAAUUGACCUUGGCAUCAGAGAUGUAUAGUUCAUCCAUAUUCAGAGAAUACUGAAUACAGCAGAUAAGGGAUCUCGACUAAACUUCGAACACAGACCCAACAUGGCCAACUGUGAAUACUGGCAGAUGUUUCGGGAAGAUUGCUCUGGAAUCUGGGAGUUGUAGUUCACCCUUAUCUGGAGAGCACUGAACCCAGUUGACUACGGAUCUGGACCAAACUUGGCACACAGACCCAACAUGGCCAACUUUGUAUACUGUUGGGGUUUGGGCGUGAUUGAACUUAGCAUCCGGGAGUUACAGUUCACCCUUAUUCAGAAAACACUGAAAACACUGGAAUGCCAAUUAAGGUGAUUAACUGCAACAUUCACACUGGCUUUCCAACUGACAAAGAGUUCUUCUCUCACCCUGGACUUCCCACAGAUAUAUAUUAACCUUCCUUGCUUAGUUUCUCCAUACCUCACAACCUCUGGGGAUACCUGCCAUAGAUGUGGGCAAAACGUCAGGAGAGAAUACUUCUGGAACAUGGCCACACAGCCUGGAAAACAUACAACAACCCUGUUAUCCUGGCCAUGAAAGCCUUCGACAACACUCCUAUUUUUACUUCCAAUUUACUAAUUGUAGGUUAUUUAAUGGUUUAAUCAGACAGAACCUAUGUUUAUUUGGACAUGAUCUCAAUGUUAUGAAAUCUUCAAAAUUUUCUGAUAAUAUAACCUUUCUAGAGCAAACCUCUAGAAAGGUUAUAUUAUGAAAUAAUGUCAAAGAAAGAAGUAGAACUUGAGCAUCCCAUAGCAGUCCUAGUUUACAUUAAGCUCAUUUUGAAACCUUUAUUAACUUAACAGUUUUCUGUUUAAAAUAUAGCAAUUAUUUUUCCCAAGCAGAGUGAAGCAAAAAAAUCAGAAGAACCUUCUCACCGAAUUUCCAAGAGUCAAGAACAUAUACUUAAAAAUGUAAGUUUUUUUUAAAAAAUUGCAUUUUUUAAAGCUCCGUCAUCAAUGCCAUAAUCAGAAUUGAAUUGAUCAGCAAACACUGCAUUCUGAAAUCUCUUGUUCAUGGAAAUCAACUGUGUUACUUCCAAGUUAUCCAUAGAAAUGUACUUCGAAUAUCUGCUUUUGGAUUUAAAAUAUUUAUUUUAUGUAUUUUAAAUUGCCCUUUCCUCAUGAGUUUAAUGGCAUCUUUCCAUCCCACCUAUCUAUAUAUGAUUUCAAAUUCUGUACUAAACUUCCUAAAUAUGGAUUACACCACACAUUGCAUCAUAAUUUGGAAGCCACUACAAUGACUUGAUGUAUGUUUGAAUUUACAGUCAGCCCUCCACAUUCACUGAGGUUAGGGGCACAGAACCACUGCAAAUGUGGGAAAAACUUGAAUAAAAUAAUGCUACUUUUUCCAGCUAAGGGAACAUAUCUCUAGAAGUCUCUAGGUCUUCUGUGGGAAAGUUGACCAUAGAAUCACACUGAAGGACCUACUACUGCUUAAGUUCUCUAGUCAACUCUGUGGCCAGCAUCCAGUGAAAGUUGACCAUAGAAGAGCUAGAGAGAACAUAUAAUUGAAAUGCACAAAUAAUCAAAUCUACAGAAUUAAAACUAAUGAAUUUGGAAGGUUGAUUGUACGUAGUAGUGAUGCACAUUUAGAAUUUACGAUUAUUCAUACUUACAUUUGUCUACAUUUAGAGAUAAUUUUUAUGUCAUCUUCUUCUUUUUCAAUCACACAGUCGUUUCCGACUCUUCGUGACCUCAUGGACCAGUCCACACCAGAGCUCCCUGUCGGCCAUCGCCGCCCUCAGUUCCUUCAAGGUCAAGCCAGUCACUUCAAGGAUACCAUCCAUCCAUCUCGCACUUGGUCGGCCUCUCUUCUUUUUUUCCUUCCAUUUUCCCCAGCAUCAUUAUCUUUUCCAAGCUUUCCUGUCUCCUCAUGAUGUUUUAUGUCAUAUAUCCAUUAAUUUUUACUGUAGCCAUUACAGUAUUGGGUACCACUUUCAUUUUGAACAUGUAAGCAGUAUUAA
rnacentral:lncRNA from 1 species